rnacentral:rRNA from 1 species
CAGCCGCCACGGUAAUACGAAGGGUGCAAGCGUUAAUCGGAAUUACUGGGCGUAAAGCGUGCGUAGGCGGUGAGUUAAGUCUGCUGUGAAAUCCCCGGGCUCAACCUGGGAAUGGCAGUGGAUACUGGCUCGCUAGAGUGUGUCAGAGGAUGGUGGAAUUCCCGGUGUAGCGGUGAAAUGCGUAGAGAUCGGGAAGAACACCGGUGGCGGAGGCGGCGACCUGGUCCUUGACUGACACUGAGGCACGAAAGCGUGGGGAGCAAACAGGAUUAGAUACCCCGGUAGUCCCUGUCUCUUAUAC